rnacentral:lncRNA from 1 species
GCCGUGAUUUUUGUUAGUGUAAGCAUGAUGUGUUAACUGACAGUGGGGACGCUGUGCAGUAGCUGGUUAAGCGGGAGCUGCAGUAGAGUUUGAAUAAAAGUUGUAGCGGGAACGGUUGGCGUGGAGAUGCAGCGGGGUGACCGCGCCCACGACGUCGCUCAGCAAGAGCAGUUUAUGUGUCAGUGUGUGUGCGCCUUUGUAAUUUUAAUUUCUGUGCUGUGACUAAGUGUUGUAACUACUAGUAUAAGUAGUGGAGCGUCUGAGGUGUGAGAAAGCGCCUUGUGAGAGAUUGUAAUCGUGUUGAACUCUUGUUAACUGGAGGUGAAAAGGGGAGCCGACGCCCUAUCGGUCUCUUCAGUGUUCA